GAAAUGCGAUAAGUAGCGUGAAUUGCAGACGCUUUGAACGUUAAACUUUCGAGCGCACAUUGCGCCGUAGGAGUCCUACCCUACAGCACAUUUGGUUGAGGGUCGUGAUCAAAACAGCAGAACUAUGGCUGUAAUAGAAAUAGCUGGUGGAUCACGAGUUCGGCCUACCGCCUCUGGCUGAACGUGUUUUGCCAUAAUGCUAGCAGAAGACAAUCGCUCGCACGAGAGAUUGCCUACCACACGGAUGAUCUAUUAGCUGAAGCACGACCGAGACCUAUCUCGGUCAUCGGGUAUCAUGCUUAUAUACUCUGAGAUACAGCUAGUGGGCUUCAUACGUGCCUGGUAUCGAGAGUAUUCGCUCUCCCGACCUCAACUCAGGUGUGAUUACUCGCUGAACUUA
rnacentral:misc_RNA from 1 species